UAAGAGCUUGCUCUUAUGAAGUUAGCGGCGGACGGGUGAGUAACACGUGGGUAACCUGCCCAUAAGACUGGGAUAACUCCGGGAAACCGGGGCUAAUACCGGAUAACAUUUUGAACCGCAUGGUUCGAAAUUGAAAGGCGGCUUCGGCUGUCACUUAUGGAUGGACCCGCGUCGCAUUAGCUAGUUGGUGAGGUAACGGCUCACCAAGGCAACGAUGCGUAGCCGACCUGAGAGGGUGAUCGGCCACACUGGGACUGAGACACGGCCCAGACUCCUACGGGAGGCAGCAGUAGGGAAUCUUCCGCAAUGGACGAAAGUCUGACGGAGCAACGCCGCGUGAGUGAUGAAGGCUUUCGGGUCGUAAAACUCUGUUGUUAGGGAAGAACAAGUGCUAGUUGAAUAAGCUGGCACCUUGACGGUACCUAACCAGAAAGCCACGGCUAACUACGUGCCAGCAGCCGCGGUAAUACGUAGGUGGCAAGCGUUAUCCGGAAUUAUUGGGCGUAAAGCGCGCGCAGGUGGUUUCUUAAGUCUGAUGUGAAAGCCCACGGCUCAACCGUGGAGGGUCAUUGGAAACUGGGAGACUUGAGUGCAGAAGAGGAAAGUGGAAUUCCAUGUGUAGCGGUGAAAUGCGUAGAGAUAUGGAAGAACACCAGUGGCGAAGGCGACUUUCUGGUCUGUAACUGACACUGAGGCGC
rnacentral:rRNA from 1 species